ACGCUCGACACCUACGGGGAGGCAGCAGUGGGGAAUAUUGGGCAAUGGAGGGCAACUCUGACCCAGCAACGCCGCGUGAAUGAUGAAGGUCUUCGGAUUGUAAAGUUCUGUGACGGGGGACGAACACAAUGACGGUACCCCGAUAGCAAGCCACGGCUAACUACGUGUCAGCAGCCGCGGUAAUCUGAGCGGGCUGGCAAGGC
rnacentral:rRNA from 1 species